rnacentral:lncRNA from 10 species
UGAUCUCUGCUGUCUGAUUCCCACUUCCCAGAUUCUCACAGUAGACGAGGAGCCUGUUUUUCAGCUAGCUGCUGCAAGGAGCUGGACAUUUCUCCCUUCAAAUAGGACCUGGAAGGCCUGGAAGCAUCUGGAGAAGGGCAUGGCUGUGAGUAGAGAAACAGAGGAUACAGGCUAAAGCAGGAGGAAGCGAGAGGACUCACGGAAAGCCUUGCUGCACUCUCCAAAAGAGCUGCCCUUUUCACGUGAAGAGCUAUGUGAUCGGAUCCCCGGUUUGGCAGAGUAGACAUGCGAGAAGACUGAACGUUUCAUCGUUGAAACCUCUUAAAGGUGGAAUGUGUGGCAGAAAGAACGUCUGAGAAGCUCACGCGAUUUGCAGAAGGAACAUUUGUAGAAGAUUCCCUGUUUUCCGAAGGAAUGUCAAGUUCCAAAGCCAUGCCGUGGGCAGUUUUUAGUUCAUGUGUGCUUUUCCGGUGGACUGAGUAGCAACAGCUGCAGUUGGCGUGUUGUCUGAAGGCAGUAUCUGAAGUGUGGAUGGGUUGGUCUUCUUCCCAGGUGUCUUUUCAACAGGCAGUCAAGUCUG